UGAUCAUGGCUACCUUGGAGGCCCAGAAGAACUCCAAAUGUUGGCUCUCCACCCUGUGCAUGUAAUUCUUAAAGGAACUCAGCACAGCAGAACACAACCAUUCACUUCAUAAGAUUGUCUACUGAGGAUGAGUAAUUGAAAAUAGAAAACACAGAAGGAAACCAUCACUGAGAGCAAGAAUCAGCAGAUACUAUAAACAGCAGGUGAAGAUUGAUGCUGCAAAUCUUCUGCUUGUGAUAAAGCAACAUGAUCUUAGCAAGUAACUUAAAUUUUCUAGGUCUCAAUUUCCUUAUUUUUAAAAUAAAGAUAAUAA